rnacentral:rRNA from 1 species
GACCAAAAGAUUAAGUUAUAUAAUUAGGUAAAAAGAUAGUUAAGUGUUAUAAAUAAGUUUAAUAAUUUUUUAUAGAAAGGUAAAAUUUGAAUAUAAAGAAAUGAUUUCAAGAAGGCUAUGAUGCUGAGGCUAUGAUAAUUUUGAGGGAAACUGGGAUUAGAUACCCCAUUAUUCAUAAUUGUAAAUUGACUAUAAUUUACCGGAGUACUAUGAAUAAAUAAAUUUAAAACUCAAAGGGCUUGGCGGUAUUUUAGACCAAUUAGGGGAACCUGUCUCAUAAUCGACAAUCCACGUUAUACCUAACCUUUAUUGAGUGAACAGUUUGUAUACCGUCGUCGUCAGGUAACUUUUAAAAAUUAAGAAGUUGGCAGAAAUAAUAUUUAUUAAUUAAGACGUCAGAUCAAGGUGCAGCUUAUAUAAAGGGGAGGAUGGGUUACAAUUGUGAAAUAAUAAUUACGAAUAUUUUGAUGUAAAGAAUUUUGAAGGAGGACUUAAAAGUAAUUUUGUAAUAUAUAAAUAAUUUGAAUUAGGCUCUGAAACGUGC